rnacentral:rRNA from 1 species
GAUGAACGCUGGCGGCGUGCCUAAUACAUGCAAGUCGAGCGAACAGACGAGGAGCUUGCUCCUCUGAUGUUAGCGGCGGACGGGUGAGUAACACGUGGAUAACCUACCUAUAAGACUGGGAUAACUUCGGGAAACCGGAGCUAAUACCGGAUAACAUGUUGAACCGCAUGGUUCAACAGUGAAAGACGGUCUUGCUGUCACUUAUAGAUGGAUCCGCGCCGCAUUAGCUAGUUGGUAAGGUAACGGCUUACCAAGGCAACGAUGCGUAGCCGACCUGAGAGGGUGAUCGGCCACACUGUAACUGAGACACGGUCCAGACUCCUACGGGAGGCAGCAGUAGGGAAUCUUCCGCAAAGGGCGAAAGCCUGACGGAGCAACGCCGCGUGAGUGAAGAAGGUCUUCGGAUCGUAAAACUCUGUUAUUAGGGAAGAACAAAUGUGUAAGUAACUAUGCACGCCUUGACGGUACCUAAUCAGAAAGCCACGGCUAACUACGUG